rnacentral:rRNA from 1 species
GAUGAACGCUGGCGGCGUGCCUAAUACAUGCAAGUCGAGCGAAUGGAUUAAGAGCUUGCUCUUAUGAAGUUAGCGGCGGACGGGUGAGUAACACGUGGGUAACCUGCCCAUAAGACUGGGAUAACUCCGGGAAACCGGGGCUAAUACCGGAUAACAUUUUGAACCGCAUGGUUCGAAAUUGAAAGGCGGCUUCGGCUGUCACUGAUGGAUGGACCCGCGUCGCAUUAGCUAGUUGGUGAGGUAACGGCGCACCAAGGCAACGACGCGUAGCCGACCUGAGAGGGUGAUCGGCCACACUGGGACUGAGACACGGCCCAGACUCCUACGGGAGGCAGCAGUAGGGAAUCUUCCGCAAUGGACGAAAGUCUGACGGAGCAACGCCGCGUGAGUGAUGAAGGCUUUCGGGUCGUAAAACUCUGUUGUUAGGGAAGAACAAGUGCUAGUUGAAUAAGCUGGCACCUUGACGGUACCUAACCAGAAAGCCACGGCUAACUACGUGCCAGCCGCCGCGGUAA